rfam:Brachypodium distachyon strain Bd21 chromosome 1, whole genome shotgun sequence.
AACAUACUUAUUCCGUUCAACAAAGGUUGUCUCAGUUUUGAUCAAAUUUAAAUGCAUCUAUAUACUAAGUCAUGUUUAGAUACAUCCAAAUUUUGACAAAUUUGAGACAUCUUUUGUUGGACGGAGGAGUACAUA